rnacentral:rRNA from 1 species
UACGUGGGGGGCAAGCGUUGUCCGGAAUCAUUGGGCGUAAAGCGCGUGUAGGCGGCCAGAUAAGUCCGCUGUGAAAUCUCGAGGCUCAACUUCGAGCUGUCGGUGGAAACUGUCUGGCUAGAGUCCGGAAGAGGAGAGUGGAAUUCCUGGUGUAGCGGUGAAAUGCGCAGAUAUCAGGAGGAACACCGGUGGCGAAGGCGGGUCUCUGGGCAGUAACUGACGCUGAGGAGCGAAAGCGUGGGGAGCGAACAGG